GAUGAACGCUGGCGGCGUGCCUAAUACAUGCAAGUCGAGCGAACAGAUGAGGAGCUUGCUCCUCUGACGUUAGCGGCGGACGGGUGAGUAACACGUGGAUAACCUACCUAUAAGACUGGGAUAACUUCGGGAAACCGGAGCUAAUACCGGAUAAUAUAUUGAACCGCAUGGUUCAAUAGUGAAAGACGGUUUUGCUGUCACUUAUAGAUGGUUCCGCGCCGCAUUAGCUAGUUGGUAAGGUAACGGCUUACCAAGGCGACGAUGCGUAGCCGACCUGAGAGGGUGAUCAGCCACACUGGAACUGAGACACGGUCCAGACUCCUACGGGAGGCAGCAGUAGGGAAUCUUCCGCAAUGGGCGAAAGCUUGACGGAGCAACGCCGCGUGAGUGAUGAAGGUCUUCGGAUCGUAAAACUCUGUUAUUAGGGAAGAACAAAUGUGUAAGUAACUAUGCACGUCUUGACGGUACCUAAUCAGAAAGCCACGGCUAACUACGUG
rnacentral:rRNA from 1 species